rnacentral:rRNA from 1 species
GUCUAUGGCCAUGCCACCCUGAACAACCCCGAUCCGGUCUGAUCUUGGAAGUUAAGCAGGAUCGAGUCUGGUUAGUACUUGGAUGGGAGACCCCCUAGGAAGUCCAGGUGCUGUAGGAU